CCGGGCGAGGUUAAAGGCACUGCAGGUGGGCGGCAUCAUGAUGUCCUGAAGCUUGCUGCGCCCGGUGCCGUCGGCCGGCUGAAGGCAGAAACAGUCACAGCACCUGCAGCUAUGGAAGGCGACGACCGAAAAUCUAAUGGGCACCUUGAUGUCAAGUUUCCAAGACCAAAGGCAAGAACAGUCAGAUCAAACUUCCGAAGAGUCAGAGAAACUAAGCGUGACCUAGAGGAGGGAGAAGGUCCUUCCGCUGUCUCCUGCAGAGCGUCUGUCGCACGUAUGAGGUGAAAUCCACACUGUCCCAUGAAGACUGUGAGGGGAGUUGCUGCCCGCACACGGCCCAGGAGCGCCAGCAGCUUGGGGACCACCACAGGCCUCAGGGUCUCUUCAGUCCGACGGGUCCAGCUGUCGAUAAAAUUUCCCGGGGAAGGAGUAAAGGACAACCAAGAACCUGAACUGCAAAAGUUGUGUUGGGGCAGGAGCUGACGGCCCCUAGGCCUAGAUCUCUGCACGACUUCGCUCAGGGACACCUGCCUCCGUGCAUGUCUCAUGGUGUGAAUGUGUCUCCUGCUCACAGGUACCGUUUUGUGUCAUGCAGUUACUGGAAUGUACAAAAGCAGCUGUGAUCUUUCUGAGAGCUGCAAAGAGCAGGAGUCUUUAUUUGGUUCACUUCUGGUCUGCAGCAACCCCUUGAUACUAAAAAAUGGAAAAGAUGUACAAAAAGAUGUCACAGCCCUUUAGAAAGCGACAUUAUCAGAAAUGUAUGACCUUCAGUCCUCCCUCCCUCUCCUAUGCCCCCACCAGACCAGGCGGCGAGAAGGAACAGGGAGUGAACAUACAACGGAAAACAAUAAAACUGAAUUUAACUGGAACAUGCUCUAAUCUUUAGUUUAUUUCUGGUUAAAAAUAUAGCAAUCCAGUGCAGUGUAGUAAAGAAGUCUGCUCGAAAGGUAGCAGAGAAACAGCUAAACAUAAGCAAAGCAAGGCAGAGUCCAUAAGAUGGGCUGGCCCCAAGACGACCGGAUGGGGAAUCCCUGCAGCGCCUCCCCGGGCACAGGGGUCCUGCGUAUGGCCGUGCCCGGACCCCUCAGGCACGUCCAUGCACACGAGAGCCAGGGCCAGGGGGCACUCGGACAUCCUGGCAAACCUUGUUCUUUUGUUUGGGUGAUGGAGCGACCCUGGUGGAGAAGGCAGAAACAUAAGGAACCUGUUUUUGUUGGACUGAACAAGUUACAUUGUACAUUUCAGGGGGUUGGAUAUGCUACAAUUUCUCAGGAAGUUUCAAGCCACUGGGUUUGAACCGCAUUCCUGUCCUGGGACCAGGCCCACUCUGGUGUAGCACUGAGGCAUCUGGAAGGAAUAUGCAUAUCUGUUAGGGGAAGUUGAGGCAGGCACAGUACAAAGAUGUGAAAACCCGUGGAGGUCAGUAACCAUGGGAGAAGGCGUCCUCUAGGGCCCUCACUGCUGGGGACACGGAAGCCCACGCGUCCACCCUGCACGCCAAGCACACACACCCAGAGCCCCGGCGCAAGGCCAGCUCCACGGCACAGCCCUCUUGGCUUCCGUGCUUAGCUGAGCCCAGGCGGAUCGGAGUGGGCCCCGGCUUCCCUGGGGUCUGGUGGGGGAAACAGCCAAAUGGGACCCACAGUGAGUGGGCAGCAGAAGAAAAAGGCUUUGCUUUAAAACUCGGUGUGGGGAGUCGGCUUCUCAUGGAAGGCCGGGGGCAGUGCCGAGAAGAGGGAAGGACCUGCAUCCAUCUUACAGGGAGGAGGUGGCCGAUCCCUCCCCCUCCCUCAGGUGUGCAGCACAGAUCUCACACAGAAAAAGGCCAGGCUACUGCCCACUGGGGUGGGCCACCCUGCCCCAUGCCUCCCGCCCAUACUUGUCACCCGUCUGUUCUAGACAGAGAAAGCAGUGAAUCCACUUUCUAAGCUCGUGUCGACGGGAGUCAGCCCUGCUGCUCAGGGGGCGCGGGUCAUGGGGCUGAGGCUCCGCCCCGGGCUGCCCUCCAUCCACACCCAAGACGGGACGUGUGACCACGAGGACAACGUCCGCUGUUACCACUGAUGUGCCGGGAUCCCUUCUGUCUCCACGUGGAGCUGGAGGGGCUGCGUGCUGGCCGCCUUCUGCCAUGCCACACAGCAGAGUGUUAUACAAGCAAAGAAUUUUGGCUAAAAUCCAAAAAACAUUACCCAGAAAAAAAGGCAAACUGUGAGUGAUACCCAAUCGUGUGGUUCUUCUGUGAGAGGACUUGGUAGUCGCUGGGCUGUCCGAGUUGCGGUCUUUCCCUUCUUGUGGUUUUGCUUUUAAUUUUAAUGUCCCUUUUUUCUACCCUUUCUCUAUUUUCGCUACCGCGACAUCUCAUCAGAUGAAAAAGUUAAUAAACAGAAUGGCGACUCCGAUGUUGAGCAAGAUCACCAUGACCACCAGGAUAGGCGCUGAGCCCUGGAAGAGAGCGAGGGGAAGAGGUGAGCGACAGCCGCGGGGGGCUCUGCCUGGGCCACCACGCCUCCCACCCACGUCUUUUCACCAAGCUAGCAGACCCUCGGGGGUGGAAGUGUACGGGAGGAUGUUAGAAACGCUCGGACACCAAAGGCCCACCAGAACCUGAGCUCCGUGAAGUCCAGACGGGGGAGAGAAGCCCCAACUGCCUGUAAGUCUGAGGUUGCUGGUCUUGGAAUUCCCUUGUGGCCCCGAGACCCUGAGUACCAGCUCUCCCAGGGUCCCCUUGGAGAGAACCACCCAGGCCUCCCUGCAAGCAAACGUCUCGGUGCGUGCGGCCUUUGUGCCAGUCAGCAGGUUUCUCCUGCCCUGUGGAACUGGGACCUCAGAAUCUCAG
rnacentral:lncRNA from 1 species